rnacentral:lncRNA from 1 species
AAACCAGGAAAUAUUUAAUUUAAAAGUCUACAUUGCAUUUUUGAUUUUAGAACAGCAUUAAGUCUAUGUUACGACGUUGUCGAUUUAACGCAUACUCUCAGUAAUGCGUCCGUCCAUUACCCGGGGAAAUACCCCAUUUUAACUGCAGAUUGACUUCAGAGGACCUUUUGGAUCUGAUGAUUGGUAUGUACAAAUAUACUAUUCCGAGAGAUACUGCAUCUUUCUUUAUCGUGGUUUAAUUGGGUUAUAAAAAGAGAUUUUGUUAUUUGGCUUUCAAAGUUACAAAAAAUUGAAAAUAUUCAAUUGUUAAUUUUAAUGAUAAAUUAAGAGGUUAGGUCUCGGUUAAAAACAAAUAGUAAUUUUGAUUCAUUUUCUUUUCUUUACACUAUUGAACGUAUCAGUCUCCUAUGCACAGUUGUCGGUCCUUGCUCAAGGACCGAUAACUCUGCACGGGAGAUUGUAAAGUGACAUGUCCAUGCACGAUCGUCAAAGUGUUGUUGAAUUCACUGUUGCAUUUUAUGUUUAUGGUGUAUUUGAUAUUAAAAAUGUUUGGGUGUUCUUAAAACGGUCGAAGCACUAGUAGGAUAAUUUUUUUUUGUGUGUUUUUUUUGCACAUGUCCUUAUUUAGAAUAAUAAUUUAUGAUAAUUUUGUAGUAGAAACAUAUCUAAAAGGAAAUUUUUAUGCCCUUGUAAUAUUUGUAAUCUAACUGUAAAAAAUCACGGUUUAAAACGAUUCAAUAUGUCGAAAAUUCGAUUGUAGCUAAUUCAGAUAGUUUAGUUUAAACAUAUUUAUUUAUAGUCGAUUGGGAAACAAGUUUUGCAACUUAUAUUAAUCCCUUUCCACUUUGCGGGUGCGAGUACUGCCUUGUAGCGGCAUUAUCCUACUCUUUUUCGAAAUCUACAAGGGUGUCUGUAACGUACAAGAGAUAUGGCUCUCUCUUAACACAGGUCAGCCAUUUAAUUCCGAUAAUAUUUUUUUUUCAAACUGAUAUAACCAGAUUACUGUAAUAAGAUUUAAAAAGGGAAAUCAGUAUUAAUCAUUAAAAAAAGAAUGUUUGGUUUCCCUUUUAAAUACUCUAAAAUGACCAUGUCUUUAGACAACCCGACGUUAAAUUGAGUAUUUUGAUAGUUUGUCACUAUCUUAGUACUACAUUUAUUUUAAUGAAGAUUACCUGUUAGAAUUAUAUUGUACUAAUAAUGUUAUCAUCAUUCGAAAUAUUUGGCAGAAAAAAUCACUAAGUUACCAAGUAUGGAAAAAUUGGAUUUUUUUUUCAACAAUUCCGUAAAAGCAGGUACUUAACCAGUGUCAACAUAAAAUGCAUUAUUUGUUAUAAUUGUGUGUGACAUAAUGAAUUAUAUACAUAAAUUCCAGGUUUAUAUACGUCGACAUAGUUAAAUGUCGUUUACAAAUAAACAACUGAAUAGUACAUUUUUCAAGCAAGGAGAAAUAUUAAAAAAUCGAUUUACAAAAUACAGACUACUACUGUGGAUUCAUGUUUGUUCGUUGGAUACCAAUUUUCGUGGAUUACGUGGGAACAGGUAGACCAUCGAAUAUCAAAAUUUUCUAUAGGGUUGUAUGCAGAUUUCGCCAAAAGCACGAAAUCAAAUGUCCACGAACAUGUAAGUUUUCAUCAAUCCACGAAAAUUGGUACCCACGAAAUUAAAUGAAUCCACAGUAUAAACAAAAUAACAUGUCACAAAUAUACUAUGUAAUAAGCACAGAACAUCAAUAUUUGAUAACUUUGAUACAUACUUACAGAGUUUUAAAUUUCGAAGCUUUUCCUUUUUAUACGAAAGAUUAUUCGUGCAUGGCACAAUUAGCAAAUCUUUCGAACGUUCGCUAUUUAUAAUGGAUACAAGUCAGAGUAAUUUUUGGAAUUAAAAAAACGGAACUUUAACCAUGGCCUUGAAAAUGUAUUCAGAGGUAAAAUAGUUUUAAGAAACAUUAUGUAAAUUAGAAAGAAGGGGAAGUCAAUAAAACUGAUAGAAGCAAGCAUUAUGAACCAACAUAAGAAAUGUAAAAUAACUGUCGUUUGUCUGACUUCGAAUGAAUCGUGUGGAUUAAACCUGAUAUUUGAUAGCUAGCCAAUCCUUCCACUUGUACUACAAUUAUUCAUGAUUCAAUUAUAUUCACAAAUGUGGUGAACAGCCAAAAACAGACAUAAUAAUUCAAUGUAUCAAUAAUUGGGAUCCACCAGCCAAUACUGUGGUGUAAACAUACACCACAACUGACCUAAAAAUUAAAUCAAACAUACAAAUAAAAUGAAAAAGUUUUGAUAGUUGAUAAUCAACACACUUUAUCAACAACACAGUACAAAUUAAAUGUAAUAUAUAUAGCGUUUACUUCAUGUUGAAUACCUCAAUGAAUAUAUUAUACGGAAAACAGUAAUACAAAGUUUUCUCAAGUGCAAGUACAUGUAGUUAUUUUUGUCAUACAAUACACUGCUUUUAUAGGAACAUAAAAGAACACACACACAAUAAUGAUAAUGGAUGUAUUGUUAUUGUAGGUUUGAAAUCAAUACGUUUCGUACCACGGAAAACAUUGGAACACAUGUUGAUGCACCAGCCCAUUUCUCUGAAGGUUAAUGGCGAGCACAUCAGAUACCUGUUGACCACCUUGUUGGGAAUGGAGUUAUAAUCAAUGUAAAAUCCAAAGUACAAAAUAACCCGGAUUAUCACGUGACAUUGUCCAAUUUAUGAAUGGGUAAAGAAAAACGGCAGAACACCAGAUGGGUCAGUAGUUCUGAUGAAUUCCGGUUGGGACGUCAGAUAUCCGGAUUUUAGACAGGUUUUCAAUACACAAACACCCAAUGAUUGAUCUACUUUCCAUUUUCCAAGCUGGCACCAAGACACUGUAAGUUGGUUGAUACGGAAUCGUCGAGUUAAUUUAAUUGGCGUGGAUACACCCUCCAAUGACUAUGGAACAUCAACAGAUUAUCCUGCCCACAUUUUGAUGGCUAAAAACGAUAUUAUCGGCGUAGAAAAUGUUGCCAACUUAGACGCAUUGCCGCCAAAUGGUGCUUUGAUAUUCGUCAACAUCCUUAAAAUAUUGGACGGAAGCGGCAGUCCGGCAAGAAUCAUGGGUUUCAUGGAAAAAACGAAGGUUGAAAUUUAAAACCAAUCGCUCUAAACAUUAUUAUCGAUCUCGAUACUAGAAAGAAAAGGC